AUAAGGAAGAAAAACAAAACUAGCCAAAGAGCUCACUGCUGAUCCGCAAACCCCGGAGCCGGCAGGACAGGCAGGCCAUUGUACAUUCGCCCAGCCAGGGCUGAGCCGGCUCCAGGCUGCCUGUUCUCAGUUUACCCACUCCCAGCAGGGAGACCCCUGCAAGGCCCCAGCCUGCUCCUCUGCAGGUUCUGGAGCCCAGCGUUUAGCACCCUGCCUGUGAACAUACCUCCCUCUUUCAGCUUCUCUUUGCCAUUGCACUUGACAUCUCUGCCCCUCAUCCAUGGCUUUCAGAGCGGCAGCAGCAGCAGCUUGGUUCUGGAAGAAAAGUGCCAGCGCAGGUCAGACUGCCUGCCCCUCCUCCAGGCUCAGGGCCUCCCCGCUUCUCACCGGUACCCUCACGAAAGGAACAAGUGAACAGCAAUUCAAACCUCCCCAAAGCUGGGUAACAAAGUCAGCUGUUGGUAGAAACAACCCAAAAUGUAGCGUGAUUUGCACAAAGCAUGGAGAGAUUGACCACGACUUUGGGACAUUCUCUUUCAAAGGGACAAGGGAUCUCUUCUCUGGGAAUCCCAGGCCCUGAGAAACAAGGAGCGGUCACCUGACACCACAGCCUGCCUGGCCAUCACCAAAAUCCCCUAAAAAACAUGACAGCACUGACCAGUCACAGGAGGGCCGCGAGGUCUGCCGACCAACCAGGGACUUGGACAGAGCUGAACACACAUCUCGAAAGGCCACCCUCACUUUACAAGAACCUUUACCUGUAAGCCCCUGUGGAGCCUGGGAUGGAGCCCUGGCUGCGGGGCUCCUCGCUCUGCACCUUGCAAUAAAUACUGCUUUCCUUCAGCA